rnacentral:pre_miRNA from 1 species
UAGUGGUGAUGGUGCUGGUGCUGGUGAUGGUGAUGGUGGUGGUGGUAGUUGUGGUGAUGGCAUCAUCAUCGACACCACCACCACCACCACCACCAUCGUUACCAUCAUCAUCAUCAUCAUCAUCA